ensembl:snRNA U4 U4 spliceosomal RNA
AGCUUUGCACAGUGGCAGUAUUGUAGCCAGUGAGGUUUAUCUGAGGCAUGAUUAUUGCUAAUUGAGUUAAGUAAAUUUAAAGAUUAAAUCUUUUCCCAUUUGUCUCACUGGUCUAACAAUCAUGUAAAGCCUAGUAUCAGUGGUUUUUAGCAAAAA